rnacentral:rRNA from 1 species
UACGUAGGGCGCAAGCGUUGUCCGGAAUUAUUGGGCGUAAAGAGCUCGUAGGCGGCCUGUUGCGUCCGCUGUGAAAUCCCGGGGCUCAACCCCGGGCCUGCAGUGGAUACGGGCUGGCUGGAGGCAGGCAGGGGAGAACGGAAUUCCUGGUGUAGCGGUGAAAUUCGUAGAGAUGGGGGAGAACACUCGUGGCGAAGGCGGCCAGCUAGACCAGUUCUGACACUGAGGCGCGACAGCGUGGGGAGCAAACAGG